UAUACCAUUCACGUUCAACGUUAAAUAUUUGAUCGUUCAUUUUAUUUGAAAAUUUUUUAUAAUUGGUAUUUUUAUUACUAAAAUAUGAAUAGCAUUUUAUAUGUGACUAAAUAUUUUUAAAUUGUUCAUAAUUUUUUUUAAAUAAGACAGAUUGUCAAACAUUAAACACGAAUAACCGCAGUUGUACUUAUU
rnacentral:pre_miRNA from 1 species